AGAACGAACGCUGGCGGCAUGCCUAACACAUGCAAGUCGAACGAGACCUUCGGGUCUAGUGGCGCACGGGUGCGUAACGCGUGGGAAUCUGCCCUUAGGUACGGAAUAACAGUGAGAAAUUACUGCUAAUACCGUAUGAUGUCUUCGGACCAAAGAUUUAUCGCCUAGGGAUGAGCCCGCGUAGGAUUAGCUAGUUGGUGGGGUAAAGGCCUACCAAGGCGACGAUCCUUAGCUGGUCUGAGAGGAUGAUCAGCCACACUGGGACUGAGACACGGCCCAGACUCCUACGGGAGGCAGCAGUGGGAAUAUUGGACAAUGGGCGAAAGCCUGAUCCAGCAAUGCCGCGUGAGUGAAGAAGGCCUUCGGGUUGUAAAGCUCUUUUACCCGGGAAGAUAAUGACUGUACCGGGAGAAUAAGCCCCGGCUAACUCCGCGCCAGCAGCCGC
rnacentral:rRNA from 1 species